UACGGAGGAGGCAAGCGUUAUCCGGAAUUAUUGGGCGUAAAGUGUCCGCAGGUGGCUAUUCAAGUCUGCGGUCAAAGACUGGGGCUUAACCCUGGAAAGGCCGUGGAAACUGAAGAGCUAGAGUGCAGUAGGGGUAGAGGGAAUUCCCGGUGUAGCGGUGAAAUGCGUAGAGCUCGGGAAGAACAUCGGUGGCGAAAGCGCUCUGCUGGACUGCAACUGACACUCAGGGACGAAAGCGUGGGGAGCAAACAGG
rnacentral:rRNA from 1 species